rnacentral:rRNA from 1 species
GCCUAACACAUGCAAGUCGAGCGGUAGCACAGAGAGCUUGCUCUCGGGUGACGAGCGGCGGACGGGUGAGUAAUGUCUGGGAAACUGCCUGAUGGAGGGGGAUAACUACUGGAAACGGUAGCUAAUACCGCAUAACGUCGCAAGACCAAAGUGGGGGACCUUCGGGCCUCAUGCCAUCAGAUGUGCCCAGAUGGGAUUAGCUGGUAGGUGGGGUAACGGCUCACCUAGGCGACGAUCCCUAGCUGGUCUGAGAGGAUGACCAGCCACACUGGAACUGAGACACGGUCCAGACUCCUACGGGAGGCAGCAGUGGGGAAUAUUGCACAAUGGGCGCAAGCCUGAUGCAGCCAUGCCGCGUGUGUGAAGAAGGCCUUCGGGUUGUAAAGCACUUUCAGCGGGGAGGAAGGCGGUGAGGUUAAUAACCUCAUCGAUUGACGUUACCCGCAGAAGAAGCACCGGCUAACUCCGUGCCAGCAGCCGCGGUAAUACGGAGGGUGCAAGCGUUAAUCGGAAUUACUGGGCGUAAAGCGCACGCAGGCGGUCUGUCAAGUCGGAUGUGAAAUCCCCGGGCUCAACCUGGGAACUGCAUUCGAAACUGGCAGGCUAGAGUCUUGUAGAGGGGGGUAGAAUUCCAGGUGUAGCGGUGAAAUGCGUAGAGAUCUGGAGGAAUACCGGUGGCGAAGGCGGCCCCCUGGACAAAGACUGACGCUCAGGUGCGAAAGCGUGGGGAGCAAACAGGAUUAGAUACCCUGGUAGUCCACGCUGUAAACGAUGUCGAUUUGGAGGUUGUGCCCUUGAGGCGUGGCUUCCGGAGCUAACGCGUUAAAUCGACCGCCUGGGGAGUACGGCCGCAAGGUUAAAACUCAAAUGAAUUGACGGGGGCCCGCACAAGCGGUGGAGCAUGUGGUUUAAUUCGAUGCAACGCGAAGAACCUUACCUGGUCUUGACAUCCACAGAACUUUCCAGAGAUGGAUUGGUGCCUUCGGGAACUGUGAGACAGGUGCUGCAUGGCUGUCGUCAGCUCGUGUUGUGAAAUGUUGGGUUAAGUCCCGCAACGAGCGCAACCCUUAUCCUUUGUUGCCAGCGGUUAGGCCGGGAACUCAAAGGAGACUGCCAGUGAUAAACUGGAGGAAGGUGGGGAUGACGUCAAGUCAUCAUGGCCCUUACGACCAGGGCUACACACGUGCUACAAUGGCAUAUACAAAGAGAAGCGACCUCGCGAGAGCAAGCGGACCUCAUAAAGUAUGUCGUAGUCCGGAUUGGAGUCUGCAACUCGACUCCAUGAAGUCGGAAUCGCUAGUAAUCGUAGAUCAGAAUGCUACGGUGAAUACGUUCCCGGGCCUUGUACACACCGCCCGUCACACCAUGGGAGUGGGUUGCAAAAGAAGUAGGUAGCUUAACCUUCGGGAGGGCGCUUACCA